rnacentral:rRNA from 1 species
UACAGAGGGGGCAAGCGUUGUUCGGAAUUAUCUGGCGUAAGCGCACGCAGGCGGAUGAUAAGUCGGGGUGAAAUCCCGGGGCUCAACCUCGGAAUUGUCUUCGAUACUGUCUGUCUUGAGUCCGGGAGAGGUGAGUGGAAUUCCUAGUGUAGAGGUGAAAUUCGUAGAUAUUAGGAAGAACACCAGUGGCGAAGGCGGCUCACUGGCCCGGUACUGACGCUCAUGAUGCGAAAGCGUGGGAGCAAACAGG